GGCGUGCGGCAGCUACACAUGCAGUCGAACGGUAGCACAGAGGAGCUUGCUCCUCGGGUGACGAGUGGCGGACGGGUGAGUAAUGUCUGGGAAACUGCCCGAUGGAGGGGGAUAACUACUGGAAACGGUAGCUAAUACCGCAUAACGUCGCAAGACCAAAGUGGGGGACCUUCGGGCCUCACACCAUCGGAUGUGCCCAGAUGGGAUUAGCUAGUAGGUGGGGUAACGGCUCACCUAGGCGACGAUCCCUAGCUGGUCUGAGAGGAUGACCAGCCACACUGGAACUGAGACACGGUCCAGACUCCUACGGGAGGCAGCAGUGGGGAAUAUUGCACAAUGGGCGCAAGCCUGAUGCAGCCAUGCCGCGUGUAUGAAGAAGGCCUUCGGGUUGUAAAGUACUUUCAGCGGGGAGGAAGGCGACGCGGUUAAUAACCGCGUCGAUUGACGUUACCCGCAGAAGAAGCACCGGCUAACUCCGUGCCAGCAGCCGCGGUAAUACGGAGGGUGCAAGCGUUAAUCGGAAUUACUGGGCGUAAAGCGCACGCAGGCGGUCUGUCAAGUCGGAUGUGAAAUCCCCGGGCUUAACCUGGGAACUGCAUUCGAAACUGGCAGGCUAGAGUCUUGUAGAGGGGGGUAGAAUUCCAGGUGUAGCGGUGAAAUGCGUAGAGAUCUGGAGGAAUACCGGUGGCGAAGGCGGCCCCCUGGACAAAGACUGACGCUCAGGUGCGAAAGCGUGGGGAGCAAACAGGAUUAGAUACCCUGGUAGUCCACGCCGUAAACGAUGUCGACUUGGAGGCUGUUUCCUUGAGGAGUGGCUUCCGGAGCUAACGCGUUAAGUCGACCGCCUGGGGAGUACGGCCGCAAGGUUAAAACUCAAUGAAUUGACGGGGCCCGCACAAGCGGUGGAGCAUGUGGUUUAAUUCGAUGCAACGCGAAGAACCUUACCUACUCUGACAUCAGCAGACUCGCAGAGAUGCAUUGUGCUUCGGGACUCUGAAACAGUGCUGCAUGCUGUCGUCAGCUCGUGUGUGAAAUGUGGGUAGUCCGCACGGAGCGCAUCUAUCUUGGUGCAGCGAUCGUCGAACUCAGAACUGCGGAUACCGAGAGUGUAUGACGUCAGUCUACAUGCCUUACGAUAGGCUACCGUCCAAUGCUACAGACGACUCGGACACGGACUCAAGUGC
rnacentral:rRNA from 1 species